GGUGAGGUGGCCGAGUUGGUUAUGGCGCCAGGUUAAGGUCUCCUUAACAGAUUUCCUGGUGGGGCAACCGCGCGAGUUCGAGUCUCGUCCUCAUCA
rfam:Verticillium albo-atrum VaMs.102 supercont1.11 genomic scaffold, whole genome shotgun sequence.